rnacentral:tmRNA from 1 species
GGGGUUGACUGGAUUUGACAGCAGGCCGAGAUGGUACGUAAGCAUGCGGAGCGACGGCUGUGGGCUCCAUAAUCUCGUCGGUCGACAAUUUAAUUGGCGAAAACACUUACGCUCUCGCUGCCUAAACGAAGUACAGUAGUUUACUGGCUUUAUCCCUCUAUCAGGUAGGGGGACGAGACAUCGCUCCAAGGAUGUUGUUCCGAAUCUGAGGGAUUAGCGGUGCAGGUAAAUCGGAAAUAGUCGUACGGAAGCCUCGGCUGGGCGAUGAAGAUUUAGAGGAUAAGGCUGUAAUUGGUGGCUUGGGUCUUGUUACAGCACGAAAAUGAAGGCCAAGAUAAGCAUGUAGAAAGCGUAUGGUUUCCCUGUUUGGACGAGGGUUCGAUUCCCUCCAGCUCCAC